rnacentral:rRNA from 1 species
CAGUAGCGUAUAUUAAAGUUGUUGCAGUUAAAAAGCUCGUAGUUGGAUUUCUGGUACGCUGCGCCUGGCCCGCCCACGUUAGUGGUGUGAGUGUCGGUGCGCGGUUGCCAUCCUUCUAGAGAACGUGUCUACCUUUAAUUAGGCCGGAUACGGGAUCUAGAUCAUUUACUUUGAAAAAUUAGAGUGUUUAAAGCAGGCUUUUGCUAUGAAUACAUUAGCAUGGAAUAAUAAUAUAGGACUUUGGUUCUAUUUUGUUGGUUUCUAGGACUAAAGUAAUGAUUGAUAGGGAUAGUUGGGGGUGCUAGUAUUCAGCGGCCAGAGGUGAAAUUCUUGGACCGUCUGAAGACUGACUACUGCGAAAGCAUUUGCCAAGAGUGUUUUCAUUAAUCAAGAACGAAAGUUAGAGGUUCGAAGACGAUCAGAUACCAU